rnacentral:rRNA from 1 species
CAGUCGUGAGGAAGGUAGUGUAGUUAAUAGCUGCAUUAUUUGACGUUUAGCGACAGAAGAAGCACCGGCUAACUCCGUGCCAGCAGCCGCGGUAAUACGGAGGGUGCGAGCGUUAAUCGGAAUUACUGGGCGUAAAGCGCAUGCAGGUGGUUUGGUUUAAGUUCAGAUGUGAAAGACCCGGGGCGUCAACCUCGGAAUAGCAUUUGUAAACUAGGCAGACUAGAGUACUGUAGAGGGGGGUAGGAAGUUUCAGGUGUAGCGGUGAAAUGCGUAGAGAUCUGAAGGAAUACCGGUGGCGAAGGCGGCCCCCUCGGACAGAUACUGACACUCAGAUGCGAAAGCGUGGGGAGCAAACAGGAUUAGAUACCCUGGUAG